rnacentral:rRNA from 1 species
UACGUAGGUGGCAAGCGUUGUUCGGAUUUAUUGGGCGUAAAGGUAGCGCAGGCGGUGACUUAAGUCUGAUGUGAAAGCCCACGGCUCAACCGUGGAAGGUCAUUGGAAACCGGGUCACUUGAAUAUAGAAGAGGAAAGUGGAAUUCCAUGUGUAGCGGUGAAAUGCGUAGAUAUAUGGAGGAACACCAGUGGCGAAGGCGACUUUCUGGUCUAUUAUUGACGCUGAGGCUCGAAAUCAUGGGUAGCAAACAGGAUCAGAUA